UAAAAAUUCAUCAUACACAUAUUGUUUGAUUAAUACCACUUUCUUUGUUUUAUCUUCCCUGGUAAAAACCAUGGCGUUGUCCUUUGCCCAUUGUGUUGUUUGCUUAAUAAGUUGCCUUUGCGCUCUUACUUCAGUAUUACUUCUCGUCUGUUUUGUCUGUUGCGUUAAUUCCCUCACGUAUUGCCAUCUUAAUUUAUGCUUAUCUAAGGUUGGGGCUUGCAAGUCGGAUAAUAAUUCUUCUAUAUACGGUAUUUCCUCACAUUGGUUGUUAGGUGCAAAAGUGGCACAUGAUGGUCCUUGCUCGAACAGACUUUGAACAAAGUGUGGGAGCUGUAUAUCUCCUAUUACUGUGAGGGUAUCUUCUAGGUCUACGCGGGUCACUUUUCUGCAGGUAAUCUGCUUUUUGAGAAUCCACUUCAUCUUGUUUACAUGUUUCCUUCUUAGUGCCGCGCGUAUUUUCUCUGCUUUGUCGAUAGUAUUACCAAUAAAGUCCAUGGAGGCUCUGGUGUUUAUUAAACUCUGUGUUAUUCUCAUCUGCUCAUUAGCCAAUAUAUAAAACCUUUUCUUGGCUUCUUUAAUUGCUGCGGCCAGACAAAUCUUCUUAACAUUCUGCAGGGCUUUCUUCUCU
rnacentral:lncRNA from 1 species